rnacentral:misc_RNA from 1 species
GUGAAUCAUCGAAUUUUUGAACGCAAAUUGCACUCUCUUCGGAGAGUAUGCCUGUUUGAGGGUCAGUAUUAAUAAAAAUCGGUGUGUUCCUUCUUUCUGACGCUCCGGAGUUUGGGUCAUCUUAAUUUCCUUUAGGUUUUAAGAGGCUUAAAAUUGACUUUUUUUGCGCCUUUUAGAUGUACAUGAAUUAUUUUUUUAUUCGUCUGUCUUAUUGCUUAUAAUCCUAUUUGAUGAGCACAUCUCUU